AUUGUGAGAAAGAGCUGUGAAUCAAGGUGUUGUGGUGACAAGAUUCAGCAGCAACCAAACCAAGACGAGGUGAAACAGAGCUGUCACAACAAGGCUGGUGAGUUGAAGGAGAUAAGGCUGGACCUUGGUGAUAGUGAUUGCAAGUCGGGUUCACCAUUGGUCAAAGGUUGUUGCUCAAGGCCUGAUGCUGAUCCCGUGGUAGCUAGCUUGAAAGUGAAGAGUGAUGGGAGCUGCAGUGAAAGUUCAAGGAAAGGUAAUAACGAAGAGGCAUGUUGUGAGGUGAAAACGGCGUUCCGUUGGCUUGCCGUUGCAGCCGUCGUCGCCGGAAUAUAUCCAAUACUAGCUAAAUCUGUAGCAUCCAUUGCAAGGGCUAGAAUCGACAUCAACAUUCUUGUUGUAAUAACCGGUAAUGUUUUAGCUUCUUUUUUUUUUAAGCUUUUCUUUGCUUCUUUUCUGCUUAGUUAUUUACCCUAAAUUAAGAAGUGCUAUGAUUUAUGAGGAGUGAGUCUCCAAUUUUCUUAUAUGCGAAUCACAAUUCUUACAACAUUAACUAAGGUGAAUAUUUUUUAAAAAAAUGGUUAUAGUAGAUGGUGAAUAUUUUCUUGUGAUUUCAAAGUAGCAUUAAAAAGGCCAAAUGCAGAGGAAAAGAAACACAAAAACUACCGAACAAAACUGCUAUAUGUUGAUCAUUAUAUUCUAAACUGACCCAUCAUAAUGUUAUAUAGACACAUACUUAUAUCUACCAUCUACUAUAACCUCUGUUGAUCAAAAAGGUUAUAGUAGAUGGUAGAUAUAAGUAUGGGUCUAUAUAACAUUGUGAUGGGUCAAUUUAGAAUAUAAUGGUCAACAUAUAGAAGUUCUGUUCGGUAGUUUUUGUGUUUCUUUUCCUCUGCAUUUGGCAUUUUUAAUGGUACUUUGAAAUCACAAGAAAAGAAGAAAAGAAAAAGAAAAAAUGAAAGCUGCUUUCUUGCAACUUUUGUUUUUCGCUAAAACCAUUUUUAAAAUAUAGUUUCUUCUAUUUCUAAAAAGGCAUAAUGGACGUUAGAUUAGCAAUAAUUGCUCAUUCUGAAGCUAAAAUGUUUAAAAGUCAAAUAAUUACUCAAAAUAUGAAUUUAAGGCUUUAAAGCUAAUAAUACUCUUCUUUGUAUCAAACAGUGGGAGCAACACUCGGUAUGAGAGAUUACACAGAAGCUGCAGCAGUUGUCUUCUUAUUCACAAUAGCUGAAUGGCUCCAGUCUAGGGCUAGCUAUAGGGUGUUUGCUUCCACCAUUUUCCUUUUCUUGUCAUGCAAGUUUCCAAAAAUACUGUGAUUGAUUGAUUCAAGCAUUGGUUUUACUGUAAAUAAAAUUUCCAGGCAAGCGCGGUGAUGCAGUCACUGAUGAGUCUAGCUCCACAGAAGGCAGUGAUAGCAGAGACUGGAGAAGAAGUUGAAGUUGAUGAGCUCAAAAUCAACACUGUCAUAGCUGUCAAAGCUGGUGAAACCAUACCUAUUGAUGGAGUUGUUGUGGAUGGAAACUGUGAGGUUGAUGAGAAAACCUUGACUGGUGAAGCAUUCCCUGUGCCUAAACUGAGAGAUUCAACUGUUUGGGCUGGAACCAUCAAUCUAAAUGGUUACAUAACUGUGAAAACCACUGCUCUAGCUGAGGAUUGUGUGGUUGCUAAGAUGGCAAAGCUAGUGGAAGAAUCUCAGAACAGCAAAACAGAAACUCAGAGAUUUAUAGAUGAAUGUUCUAAGUACUAUACUCCAGGUUAGUAAGCAAAUCAGAAACUGAUUUCAAGUUCUUGAUGUUCUUGAUUGAGACCUCAUAUUCUCUUGCCUUGCAUGCAGCGAUCAUCCUCAUAUCGCUCUGUUUUGUGGUUAUCCCAUUCGCAUUAAAGGUUCACAACAUGAAACAUUGGCUGCACUUGGCCCUAGUUGUGCUAGUAAGUGCUUGUCCUUGUGGCCUUAUUCUCUCAACACCAGUAGCCAGUUUCUGUGCCCUCACUAAAGCAGCAACAUCAGGACUUCUGAUCAAAGAAGCUGAUUAUCUUGAGACCUUAGCCAAGAUCAAAACCGUUGCUUUUGACAAAACUGGGACCAUCACUAGAGGCGAGUUCAUAGUCAUGGAUUUCAAGUCACUCUCCAGAGAUAUAAGCCUGCACAGGUUGCUUUACUGGUGAGAAACAUCUAAUUCUCAUCUUUCAACCACUUUUCUUAACACUUUGUUUUAUUAAAACUUAUUUAGAACAUAUUACAUCGUUGGCAAGUAAGACAUAACGAAAAUGAAACACUAAUGGUCUUUUCCACACCUGGAGACCACCGAGGACAAACAUUAUUAUGACACGUUAGCGAUACCAAACUGAUCUUGUUUCAAAAUAAAUUAGAGUAGAUGUUCCCAGUCCAACAAUAUCAGACGGACUUUUAAUACUUUUAUCGGACACAUGACAAUAAUUCUCAUAGUCUAGAUAGAUCUUCUUCUUCAGUUGCCUAGAUAUUUUAACCACUUUAGUGAGAUACUUUGUGAAUUUUCCUGAGAGUUUUGGAAUGUGACUUCUGUUAGGGUAUCAAGCGUGGAGAGCAAGUCAAGCCAUCCAAUGGCUGCUGCACUUCUGGACUAUGCAAAAUCUGUCUCUGUUGAACCUAAGCCUGAAUCUGUUGAAGACUACCAAAACUUUCCAGGAGAAGGCAUUUUUGGGAAGAUUGAUGGCAAAGAAGUCUAUAUUGGGAACAAAAGAAUUGCUUCCAGAGCUGGGUGUUCAUCAGGUAAUGCGAUGUUUUAGAUCAUUGAGGUUUUGGGUUCUUGUUUACUCUCUAAAGGUUUUUGGUUUUGGUGUAUGUGCACAGUUCCAGAUAUAGAUGUUGAUACUAAAGGAGGAAAGACGGUUGGAUACGUCUAUCUUGGAGAGACACUAGCCGGAGUUUUCAACCUCUCGGAUGCUUGUAGAUCAGGUGUAGCUCAAGCGAUGAAAGAACUCAAAUCUAUGGGAAUCAAAACUGCAAUGUUAACCGGAGAUAACCAAGCUUCAGCAAUGCAUGCUCAAGAACAGCUAGGUAACGUUAUGGACGUUGUUCAUGCGGAGCUUCUCCCUGAAGGCAAGUCCCAAAUCAUCAAAGAGUUUAAGAGAGAAGGUCCAACGGCUAUGGUGGGAGACGGUUUGAAUGACGCACCAGCUUUGGCAACAGCUGACAUUGGCAUCUCGAUGGGUGUUUCCGGCUCUGCGCUUGCUACAGAGACCGGUCACAUAAUCUUGAUGUCUAAUGACAUCAGGAGGAUACCGCAAGCGAUAAGGCUUGCGCGUAGGGGUAAAAGAAAAGUGGUGGAGAAUGUGGUUUUGUCUAUUACUAUGAAAGGAGCGAUUCUUGCUUUGGCUUUUGCUGGUCAUCCUUUGAUUUGGGCGGCUGUGCUUGCGGACGUGGGGACUUGUUUGCUUGUGAUCCUUAAUAGCAUGUUGUUGCUUCGAGAUGAGCACGUUCCUGGAGGGAAAUGUCAUAGGGCGGAGAAAGGUGAAGGUGAUGUUGUUGGAGACAUGGAAGCAGGUUUGUUACCGAAGCAUUGCACGUCAGGCUGUUGUGGAAAGGAGAAGCAAGAGGUAGUGAUGAAACCGGCUAAAACUAGUUCGGGACAUGGGCACUCUGGUUGUUGUGACAAGAAACAUAAAGAUGAUGUGAUGAUUGUGAGAAAGAGCUGUGAAUCAAGGUGUUGUGGUGACAAGAUUCAGCAGCAACCAAACCAAGACGAGGUGAAACAGAGCUGUCACAACAAGGCUGGUGAGUUGAAGGAGAUAAGGCUGGACCUUGGUGAUAGUGAUUGCAAGUCGGGUUCACCAUUGGUCAAAGGUUGUUGCUCAAGGCCUGAUGCUGAUCCCGUGGUAGCUAGCUUGAAAGUGAAGAGUGAUGGGAGCUGCAGUGAAAGUUCAAGGAAAGGUAAUAACGAAGAGGCA
rnacentral:lncRNA from 1 species